rnacentral:rRNA from 1 species
UGGAAGUAAAAAGUCGUAACAAGGUCUCCGUAGGUGAACCUGCGGAGGGAUCAUUACACAAAUAUGAAGGCGGGCUGGAACCUCUCGGGGUUACAGCCUUGCUGAAUUAUUCACCCUUGUCUUUUGCGUACUUCUUGUUUCCUUGGUGGGUUCGCCCACCACUAGGACAAACAUAAACCUUUUGUAAUUGCAAUCAGCGUCAGUAACAAAUUAAUAAUUACAACUUUCAACAACGGAUCUCUUGGUUCUGGCAUCGAUGAAGAACGCAGCGAAAUGCGAUAAGUAGUGUGAAUUGCAGAAUUCAGUGAAUCAUCGAAUCUUUGAACGCACAUUGCGCCCUUUGGUAUUCCAAAGGGCAUGCCUGUUCGAGCGUCAUUUGUACCCUCAAGCUUUGCUUGGUGUUGGGCGUCUUGUCUCUAGCUUUGCUGGAGACUCGCCUUAAAGUAAUUGGCAGCCGGCCUACUGGUUUCGGAGCGCAGCACAAGUCGCACUCUCUAUCAGCAAAGGUCUAGCAUCCAUUAAGCCUUUUUUUCAACUUUGACCUCGGAUCAGUAGGU